GGCGAACGGGUGAGUAACACGUGGGCAACCUGCCCCCCGGCUCUGGGAUAACUCCAAGAAAUUGGGGCUAAUACCGGAUGUGACCGCUGACCGCAUGGUCUGGUGUGGAAAGGGUUUCCGGCUGGGGAUGGGCCCGCGGCCUAUCAGCUUGUUGGUGGGGUAGUGGCCUACCAAGGCGACGACGGGUAGCCGGCCUGAGAGGGUGACCGGCCACACUGGGACUGAGACACGGCCCAGACUCCUACGGGAGGCAGCAGUGGGGAAUAUUGCGCAAUGGGCGGAAGCCUGACGCAGCGACGCCGCGUGGGGGAUGACGGCCUUCGGGUUGUAAACCUCUUUCAGCAGGGGGGAAGCUUUCGGGUGACGGUACCUGCAGAAGAAGGACCGCUAACUACGUGCCAG
rnacentral:rRNA from 1 species